rnacentral:rRNA from 1 species
CAGGCUCAGGACGAACGUGGCGGCGUGCUUAACACAUGCAAGUCGAGCGGUAAGGCCUUUCGGGGUACACGAGCGGCGAACGGGUGAGUAACACGUGGGUGAUCUGCCCUGCACUUCGGGAUAAGCCUGGGAAACUGGGUCUAAUACCGGAUAUGACCUCCUAUCGCAUGGUGGGUGGUGGAAAGAUUUAUCGGUGCAGGAUGGGCCCGCGGCCUAUCAGCUUGUUGGUGGGGUAAUGGCCUACCAAGGCGACGACGGGUAGCCGACCUGAGAGGGUGACCGGCCACACUGGGACUGAGACACGGCCCAGACUCCUACGGGAGGCAGCAGUGGGGAAUAUUGCACAAUGGGCGAAAGCCUGAUGCAGCGACGCCGCGUGAGGGAUGACGGCCUUCGGGUUGUAAACCUCUUUCAGCAGGGACGAAGCGCAAGUGACGGUACU